AUUGAACGCUGGCGGCGUGCCUAAUACAUGCAAGUCGAGCGAAGCGGCGGACGGGUGAGUAAUGCCUAGGAAUCUGCCUGGUAGGGGGGGAUAACGUCCGGGAACGGGCGCUCAUACCCCAUACUCUAAGAUGUGCCUAGGUCGGAUUAGCUAGUUGGGGGGGGAAAGGCCUACCAAGGCGACGAUCCGUAACUGGUCUGAUAGGAUGAGCAGUCACACUGGAACGGAGACACGGUCCAGACUCCUACGGGAGGCAGCAGUGGGGAAUAUUGGACAAUGGGCGAAAGCCUGAUCCAGCCAUGCCGCGUGUGUGAAGAAGGUCUUCGGAGUGUAAAGCACUUUAAGUUGGGAGGCGUUACCAACAGAAUAAGCACCGGCUAACUUCGUGCCAGCAGCCGCGGUAAUAC
rnacentral:rRNA from 1 species